AUUGAACGCUGGCGGCAUGCCUUACACAUGCAAGUCGAACGGUAACAGGUCUUCGGAUGCUGACGAGUGGCGAACGGGUGAGUAAUACAUCGGAACGUGCCUAGUAGUGGGGGAUAACUACUCGAAAGAGUGGCUAAUACCGCAUGAGAUCUACGGAUGAAAGCAGGGGAUCGCAAGACCUUGUGCUACUAGAGCGGCCGAUGGCAGAUUAGGUAGUUGGUGGGAUAAAAGCUUACCAAGCCGACGAUCUGUAGCUGGUCUGAGAGGACGAUCAGCCACACUGGGACUGGGACACGGCCCAGACUCCUACGGGAGGCAGCAGUGGGGAAUUUUGGGCAAUGGGCGCAAGCCUGACCCAGCAAUGCCGCGUGCAGGAUGAAGGCCUUCGGGUUGUAAACUGCUUUUGUACGGAACGAAAAGCCCUGGGUUAAUACCCUGGGGUCAUGACGGUACCGUAAGAAUAAGCACCGGCUAACUACGUGCCAGCCGCCGCUGUAAUAC
rnacentral:rRNA from 1 species